GACGAACGCUGGCGGCGUGCCUAACACAUGCAAGUCGAACGGAAAGGCCCUGCUUUUGUGGGGUGCUCGAGUGGCGAACGGGUGAGUAACACGUGAGUAACCUGCCCUUGACUUUGGGAUAACUUCAGGAAACUGGGGCUAAUACCGGAUAGGAGCUCCUGCUGCAGGGUGGGGGUCGGAAAGUUUCGGCGGUUGGGGAUGGACUCGCGGCUUAUCAGCUUGUUGGUGGGGGAGUGGCUUACCAAGGCUUUGACGGGUAGCCGGCCUGAGAGGGGGACCGGCGACAUUGGGACUGAGAUACGGCCCAGACUCCUACGGGAGGCAGCAGUGGGGAAUAUUGCACAAUGGGCGGAAGCCUGAUGCAGAAGCGCCGCGUGCGGGAUGACGGCCUUCGGGUUGUAAACCGCUUUCGCCUGUGACGAAGCGUGAGUGACGGUAAUGGGUAAAGAAGCACCGGCUAACUACGUG
rnacentral:rRNA from 1 species